rnacentral:rRNA from 1 species
AGCGAACGCUGGCGGCAGGCCUAACACAUGCAAGUCGAACGGCAGCACAGUAAGAGCUUGCUCUUACGGGUGGCGAGUGGCGGACGGGUGAGGAAUACAUCGGAAUCUACUUUUUCGUGGGGGUUAACGUAGGGAAACUUACGCUAAUAUCGCAUACGAUCUUCGGGUGAAAGCAGGGGAACUUCGGACCUUGCGCGAUUGAAUGAGCCGAUGUGGGAUUAGCUAGUUGGGGGGGUAAGGGCCAACCAAGGCGACGAUCCGUAGCUGGUUGGAGAGGAGGAUCGGCCACACUGGAACUGGAACCCGGUCCGGACUCCUAGGGGAGGCAGCAGUGGGGAAUAUUGGACAGUGGGGGCAAGCCUGAUCCAGCCAUACCGCGUGGGUGAAGAAGGCCUUCGGGCUGGAAAGCCCGUUUGUUGGGAAAAAAAAGCAGCAGGUUGAUACGCCGCUGUUCUGACGGUACCCAAAGAAUAAGCACCGGCUAACUACGUG